rnacentral:rRNA from 1 species
CCUACGGGCGGCAGCAGUGGGGAAUAUUGGACAAUGGGCGAAAGCCUGAUCCAGCCAUGCCGCGUGUGUGAAGAAGGCCUUCGGGUUGUAAAGCACUUUCAGUGGGGAAGAAAGCCUUGGGGCUAAUACCCUCGAGGAAGGACAUCACCCACAGAAGAAGCACCGGCUAACUCCGUGCCAGCAGCCGCGGUAAUACGGAGGGUGCGAGCGUUAAUCGGAAUUACUGGGCGUAAAGCGCGCGUAGGCGGUCUGAUAAGCCGGUUGUGAAAGCCCCGGGCUCAACCUGGGAACGGCAUCCGGAACGGUCAGGCUAGAGUGCAGGAGAGGAAGGUAGAAUUCCCGGUGUAGCGGUGAAAUGCGUAGAGAUCGGGAGGAAUACCAGUGGCGAAGGCGGCCUUCUGGACUGACACUGACGCUGAGGUGCGAAAGCGUGGGUAGCAAACAGGAUUAGAUACCCUAGUAGUC